rnacentral:rRNA from 1 species
UUCUUAUUCCUACGGGAGGCAGCAGUGGGGAAUAUUGCACAAUGGGCGCAAGCCUGAUGCAGCGACGCCGCGUGGGGGAUGACGGCCUUCGGGUUGUAAACUCCUUUCGCUAGGGACGAAGCUUUUUGUGACGGUACCUAGAUAAGAAGCACCGGCYAACUACGUGCCAGCMSCCGCRGWAAUGWGCCA